AUUUAAGGUCUGAUCUGCCCACUGAUGAUUUAAAUGGCCGCGAUAUUUUGAUCGUGCGAAGGUAGCAUAAUCAUUAGCUUUUUAAUUGAAAGCUGGUAUGAAUGAUUGGACGAGAAGCUUUCUGUCUCUAUUUUAUAGUUUGAAUUUUAUUUUUGAGUUAAAAAGCUUAAAUAUUUUUGUAAGACGAGAAGACCCUAUAGAGUUUUUAUAUUUAAUAUUUUUUAUUGUAAUUUUGGGUUUAAUUUAUUUUAAUUUAUUAAGUAUUUAGUUGGGGUGACGGAAAAAUUUAAUUAACUUUUUCUUUUUAAAAUAUAGAUUUAUAGAUAUUUGACUUAAUUUUUUUUGUUAUAAGAUUAAAUUACCUUAGGGAUAACAGCGUAAUUUUUCUAAAGAGUUCAUAUCGAAAGAAAAGAUUGCGACCUCGAUGUUGGAUUAAAGUUAAAUUUUGGUGUAGAAGCUAAAAAUUUUAGUCUGUUCGACUAUUAAAUCUUUACAUGAUCUGAGUUUAAACCGGCGUGAGCCAGGUUGGUUUCUAUCUUCAAUUGUUUAAAAUAUUUUAGUACGAAAGGACCAAAUAUUGUUUAAAUUAGUUUUAUAUUUGACUUAUUUU
rnacentral:rRNA from 1 species